rnacentral:lncRNA from 10 species
AAGCUCUUUCCAGAUCAGUACAUAGAGAGCAUCCUCAUUCUUUUUGUCAGUAUUAUAUGAAUGAACCAUAAUUUAUUUAACCAGUCUCCUGUCCUACAGACUGUUUCUAUUAUUUUGGUAUUACAAACGGUGCUGCAGUAAAUAACCCUGUCUGUUUUCAAAAUGUGAUUGACGGCCAAGCGUGGCGGCUCACGUCUGUAAUCCCAGCACUUCGGGAGGCCGAGGCGGGCAGAUCACAAGGUCAGGAGAUCGAGACCAUCCUGGCUAACAUGGUGAAACCAGUCUCUACUGAAAAAUACAAAAAAAUUAGCUGGGUGUGGUGGUGGGCACCUGUAGUCCCAGCUAUUUGGGAGGCUGAGGUAGGAGAAUGGCAUGAACCCGGGAGGCAGAGCUUGCAGUGAGCCAAGAUCAUGCCACUGCACUCCAGCCUGGGUGACAGAGUGAGACUCUGUCUCAAAAAAAAAAAAAAACAAUGUGAUUGACUUGGACCUAAGCAAGGCUGGGUCAGUACGCCGAGAGUGGUGCCAGUGCAGAGCCCAAAGAGCUCUUGCUGUGCUCAGAGGCCUGACACGCGUGACUCACUGGCUCCAUGAUUAGUCACAUCCCUCACCCCUCAAACACCCAGUGGUGAAAACCCAGCACAAACAGAUCACUUCUUGAGCCCCGGGAAUGCACCAUUGCAGGCCACAAUCUGAGGAAGUCGCUAGAUGCAGGAAAAUUCAACCCAGUCCCGCUAAGAGAAUGACUUAGUUCAACUCUGUUGAACUAAGGCAAGACUAAUUACUGUAAUUAGCUGACUGUACAAUUAGAAGUGAUUAAGCACAUUACAAAAGAGGCUCAGAAUCCCCACAACUGGAAACAUCCCAGCUCAGUCCGUUAACAAUGUCUGCGGCUUUUCUCUGUUUUCAUAGCUUAUGCUUGCAGUACAUGUCUACCUUCUCAAUAGGGUAUUAUUUUUCUUUUCAACACACUGUAGCAUAUGGACAUUAGCCAAGUAUAUCACAAUCAUUGGUUUACUUUUUCUAUGCUUAAAUUGAGAUAUAAUUUAUAUAUGGUAAAAUGCACAGAUCUAAGGUCUACAGUUCAUAAAUUUUACAAAUGAAAAUAUCCUGUAACUAACACCUAAAUCAAAAUAUAGAACAAUUUUAUCCCUCCAAAAAGUUCCCUCAUGUCUCUUUCCAAUCACUGCCCCCCAGCUCCCUCUCCCCAGGCAACUAUUCUAGGUUGAUUCCAUUAAGGGAAAAUAACUGGAAGGUUAUUUUGGCCAUUCAAAAUUAGGCAAGUAGCCAUUGAAUUGAAAAAAGCAUAUAGGGCCAGACGCUGUGGCUCACGCCGGUAAUCCCAGCAUUUUGGGAGGCCGAGGCGGGCAGAUCACCUGAGGUCAGGGAUUCUAGACCAGCCUGGCCAUCAUGGUGAAACCCUGUCUCUACUAAAAAUACAAAAAAUCAGCCAGGCAUGGUGGCGCAUGGUCCUAGCUACUUGGGAGGCUGAGGCAGGAGAAUCACUUGAGCCCAAGAGCCCAAGAGGUGGAGGCUGCAGUGAGCUAAGAUCAUGUCACAGUACUCCAGCCUGAGUGACAGAGUGAGUGAGGCUCCAUUUCUAAAAAAAAUAGUUCAUUCUCCUGUUCCUUUUUUUUUUUUAUACUUUAAGUUCUAGGGUACAUGUGCACAACAUGCAGGUUUGUUACAUAUGUAUACAUGUGCCAUGUUGGUGUGCUGCACCCAUUAACUCAUCAUUUACAUUAGGUAUAUCUCCUAAUGCUAUCCCUCCCCCCUCCCCCCACCCCAUGACAGGCCCUGGUGUGUGAUGUUCCUCUUCCUGUGUCCAAGUGUUCUCAUUGUUCAAUUCCCACCUGUAAGUGAGAACAUACAGUGUUUGGUUUUUUGUCCUUGCAAUAGUUUGCUGAGAAUGAUGGUUUCCAGCUUCAUCCAUGUCCUACAAAGGACAUGAACUCAUACUUUUUGUGGCUGCAUAGUAUUCCAUGGUGUAUAUAUGCCACAUUUUCUUAAUCCAGUCUAUCACUGAUGGACAUUUGGGUUGGUUCCAAGUCUUUGCUAUUGUGAAUAGUGCCACAAUAAACAUUUGUGUGCAUGUGUCUCUAUAGUAGCAUGAAUUAUAAUCCUUUGGGUAUAUGCCUAGUAAUGGGAUGGCUGGGUCAAAUGGUAUUUCUAGGUCUAGAUCCUUGAGGAAUCGCCACACCGACUUCCACAAUGGUUGAACUGGUUUACAGUCCCACCAACAGUAUAAAAGUGUUCCUAUUUCUCCACAUCCUCUCCAGCACCUGUUGCUUCCUGACUUUUUAAUGAUCGCCAUUCUAACUAGUGUGAGAUGGUAUCUCAUUGUGGUUUUGAUUUGCAUUUCUCUGAUGGCCAGUGAUGAUGAGCAUUUUUUUAUGCGCCUGUUGGCUGCAUAAAUGUCUUCUUUUGAGAAGUGUCUGUUCAUAUCCUUCGCCCACUUUUUGAUGGGGUUGUUUUUUUCUUGUAAAUUUGUUUGAGUUCUUUGUAGAUUCUGGAUAUUAGCCCUUUGUCAGAUGAGUAGAUUGCAAAAAUUUUCUCCCAUUCUGUAGGUUGCCUGU